rnacentral:rRNA from 1 species
AACGAACGCUGGCGGCGCGCCUAAUACAUGCAAGUCGAGCGAGAAGGUGUAGCAAUACACUUGUAAAGCGGCGAACGGGUGAGGAAUGCAUGGGUAACCUACCCUCGAGUGGGGAAUAACUAGCCGAAAGGUUAGCUAAUACCGCAUACGUUUCCGGAACUUCGGUUUCGGAAAGAAAGCAAUACCGUGGGUAUUGCGCUCCUGGAUGGGCUCAUGUCCUAUCAGCUUGUUGGUGAGGUAACGGCUCACCAAGGCUUCGACGGGUAGCUGGUCUGAGAGGACGAUCAGCCACACUGGCACUGCGACACGGGCCAGACUCCUACGGGAGCAGCAGUAAGGAAUAUUGCGCAAUGGACGAAAGUCUGACGCAGCGACGCCGCGUGGGGGAUGAAGGUCUUCGGGAUUGUAAACCCCUUUCGGGAGGGAAGAUGGAGUGGGUAACCACUUGGACGGUACCUCCAGAAGCAGCCACGGCUAACUUCGUGCCAGCAGCCGCGGUAAU